GGUUAAGUUAGAAAGGGCGC
rnacentral:rRNA from 1 species